GACAGAGGUGCCGAGCGUUAGGCGGAAUCACUGGGCUUAAAGCGUGUGUAGGCGGAGACGUCAGUACCUUGUGAAAUCCCACGGCUCAACCGUGGAACUGCUGGGUAUACUGCGUUUCUUGAGCUGUCUAGGGGCAACCGGAACAAACGGUGGAGCGGUGAAAUGCGUAGAUAUCGUUUGGAACGCCAAUGGUGAAAACAGGUUGCUGGGGACAUGCUGACGCUGAGACACGAAAGCCAGGGGAGCAAACGGG
rnacentral:rRNA from 1 species